GACGGAGGAUGCAAGCGUUAUCCGGAAUUAUUGGGCGUAAAGCGUCCGUAGGCGGUUUCAAAAGUCUGUUGUUAAAGCCCACAGCUCAACUGUGGAUCGGCAAUGGAAACUGUGAGACUAGAGAGUGGUAGGGGUAGAGGGAAUUCCUAGUGUAGCGGUGAAAUGCGUAGAUAUUAGGAAGAACACCAGUGGCGAAGGCGAAUCUCUGGACAGUUACUGACACUGAGGCACGAAGGCCAGGGGAGCAAACGGG
rnacentral:rRNA from 1 species